ensembl:rRNA 5S_rRNA 5S ribosomal RNA
GCCUGUCGCCAUGCUAGACUCAAUGCACCCAGUUUUGCUUCGUCUUGGAAGCUGAACAGUCCCAGGCCUGGCUAGCAUUUCAAUGCGGAGACCAUCUGGGAAUUCAGUGUGCCAUGGGCA